rnacentral:lncRNA from 1 species
ACAGAGACUUCGAAGGGAAGAAGGCUGAGAGAGGAAGAAGAAGAAGCCCAAGAAGUAUUGGUUGAAGAACCCAAGGAGUUUGCAAGAUCAACUUCUCUAUAGUUCACUAAGCACAUCUCUGGUUUUUUACUGAUUCCGAGAUACACAAAAAGAAUUAAGAUGUGAGGUUUAAAUUUACUGGAAGAUAAUCAUUUUUAAACAAACUUUAUGAAGAAAGCUUGAUCAAAUUCUGAUGUUCAUUAGGUGAAUUUUGACAAAGAAAAUAGGACAUGUGGUUUUCACGCGAAAUCAGAAAGUCUCUAAUUUGUUUAGUAUUUCAGGGUGUACCGAUGUAGUUAGGAUCUCUAUUUGAUAUGGUUAGAAUUAUUAUUCAAUUUACUACAACUUUUACGAAGAAACCGUGAACCAAAACCAACUAAAAAUAAGUUAAAUGGUAGGGACAAGCUAAAGGGGUCAUUGUACGCGCAAUUGUUGGAGUGGUUUAGUUUUGAGGGAUACCUGAGAUUAUACACAAGGAAUCAGAUUUAUAUGUCUUGAGGUAAGUUUUAUAGGACCUCAAAAUAAAGAUUUGAACGUAAAGAAAUCUCAUUUUGGUUAAGUAGUGGAAGAGUUAUGAUUAUUUGAAUUGUGUGCUGCGAAUCUGGAAAAUUCUCAGAAAUGUGUAGAGUAUGGAUUAUUAUUUUUAAGGAUAGACUUCAUUAGCAAUAUCCGUAGGGAGCUAUGUCAAGCAUAAUAUUUGAAGAUUUUAAUAUUUAGGUUUCUAAUACUUGGUUCUGAUUGUUUGACAAGCCAAGAGGAAAUAUGUCGGAUUUACACAUCGAAAAACUAGUCUUAGACUGUGAGUGACCAAAACCAGAUUUGAAUUUUUUUUAUUUUCUCCAAAUUAUUAAGUAUGAUUGACUGAUCUACACGUUUUUCCUUCUGAAUACUAGAAAUACUAGUUGUGGAAAAACCAAAAUUCUGAAACCAAAGCUCAACACAAUACACUUCAUUUAACCCUUAGUUUUUCCUUCUGAAUAUUAGUCCCUCUCCUUUUCAAGGUGAAUUAAUAUAAUUCUCUGCACAUUGUUUGUUCUUCAUUUAAUCCCUGAAAUGAUUGAAUGUUUCAUGCAAUGUCUUAUUUAUGUUAUAUAUGUGUUAAUUCAUAAGUUUGCUUUUGUGUAUAGUUUUUCUCUUCACUCUAAGUUUUAGACUUCAAGCUUAUGCUAAUGGAGAUGGUUAUGCUUUUGUGUAUGUAGAUUCUUUUGGACAAUAUUCAAGCAAUGGAAGGUGAAACGUAUUACAAGCAAUGGA